GCUGGAAUGCAUCUAGAUUGAAAGCUCCGGCGCCUAAGGAUGGGUCUGCGGACUAUCAGGUUGUAGUCAGGGUAAAGACCUGACUAGCCUACGACGGAUACGGGUUGUGAGAGCAAUAACCCGGAGAUGAUACCUGAGACACGAUAUCAGGCCCUACGGGGCGCAGCAGGCGCGAAAACUUCACACUGUGCGAAAGCGCGAUGAGGGAAUCCCAAGUGCUUGCACGUAAGUGUAAGCUGUUUUUAUGUUUAAAAUGCAUAGAGAGUAAGAGCUGGGUAAGACGGGUGCCAGCCGCCGCGGUAAUACCUGCAGCUCAAGUGGUGAUCGUUAUUAUUGGGCCUAAAACGUUCGUAGCCGGUUUAGUAAAUGCCUGGGUAAAUCGUGUAGCUUAACUAUACGGAUUCCGGGUAGACUGCUAAACUUGAGACCGGGAGAGGCUAGAGGUACUCCUGGGGUAGAGGUGAAAUUCUGUAAUCCUAGGGGGACCACCAGUGGCGAAGGCGUCUAGCUAGAACGGGUCUGACGGUGAGGGACGAAGCCCUGGGGCGCAAACCGGAUUAGAUACCCGGGUAGUCCAGGGUGUAAACGCUGCUUGCUUGAUGUUAGUCGGGCUCCGAGCCCGAUUAGUGUCGGAGAGAAGUUGUUAAGCAAGCUGCCUGGGAAGUACGGUCGCAAGGCUGAAACUUAAAGGAAUUGGCGGGGGAGCACAGCAACGGGUGGAGCGUGCGGUUUAAUUGGACUCAACGCCGGUAA
rnacentral:rRNA from 1 species